AUCAGUGCCGUGUCCACGCCCAGGAUCUGAACUGGUGAAACCCUGGGCCUCCGACGCAAAGUGCACGAACUUAACCACUCGGUCACUCAGCCGGCCCCUCACUUUCCUGAUGGUGUGUUUUGAGAAGCCUGAGCUUAAAUCUGUAAGACUCCGCUGGAGAAGAUGUUGUCAAGAUCACCAAAAAUCUCCAUAUUGCUGAAUCAAAUGAAUUUUUCUUCGUUUUCCCUUGCUUGACCUAUUAUCAGCAUUCAGCACAGGUAAGGACUCUCUCCUUUUUGAUUCAGUUUUUGCUCUGGGCUUCAGAAACAUCACACUGUCCUGAUUUUCUUUCUAAAUCACUGAACUCUCCUCAACCUUUACAGCUGUCUCUCUGGCCUCUGCCUGAAAUCUGAAAGUUGGAGUAUUGCAGGGCUGGUUUUCAAUUUUCUCUCCUUAAUUCUCUUCCGGUCCUGUGGCUUUAAGUGUUGCUAUGUACUGAUGUCUCCCAGGUAUACAACUGACCUGAGCUUCAACCUCAUGUAUCCAGUUGCAUAACUGACGUUUCCAGUUGAACUCCAAAUAGGUAUUGCAAACCAAAUGUACACAAAAAGAACUCUUGAUUUCUGUCCUAAAUAUGACCCUCUCCCAGUCUAAGCAAAUACCUCCAUCACACACCCAGUUGCCUAACCCUCAAAUUAGGAUCCCAGUCAUUCUAGACUCUUCUCUUUCCCUCAUCCUCUGCAUCUAACCCAUCAGCAAGUUUGUAUCCAAACAUAUCUUGAAUCCAUCUCUUUACUUGCUCUCCACUGCCAUCAUCCCAGUCUAAACUAACAUCCUCUCUUGCCUUGACUACUGCGGUCGUCUACUAAUGGGUCCCUCUCCUUCUUGCCUUGCCAUAAUUCACUCUCCAUUAAGCCACCAGAGUAACCAGAGAGCUAGGACAGAACCUGUGCUGCCUCUGCUUAAAAUCUUCCAAACGUUUCUUGUUGCUCUUAGAAUAAAAUCCAAACUCCUCACCAUGGCCCUACUAAGGGCUACGUGGGCUACAAGGCCCUACUAAGCUGACUCCCGCCUGCUCCUGAGUCUCUGGUCACUGCUCUCCUGCAGUUGGCCCUCCUUUAGCUUCCUCAAAUUCGCUCAGCUCUCCCACACGCCAGGGCUUCUGCGUGUGCUAUUCCUGAUAUUCAGCUCAUUGCAUGGUUUCUACCUCCUCGUCGUUCUUCUGUCAGCUCAAAGGUCCUCAGAGGGGCCCUCCCUGACCCUCAAACGUCUGGAAUUACUUUGUUUACUUAUUGGUUUACAUAUUGAUUCCUGACUAGAGUUAAGUUCUUUGAGGCCCCGGGCCUUGGCUGUCUUGUUUAGCAUUACACCCCCAGUACCUGAAACAGUGCUUGGCACGCAGUGGGUGUUCAAUAAAUACUUACCGAACGGAUAAAGCUCCUCCCAGAGGGAGUGUGUGGCGUGAAAAGGAGAGAGGACAGAUGACAGAGGCUUAUGGAGCAUCUUACUUUUUUUUCAACCACUAUGCAAAAAAGGGCAGGCAAAUGAAUCUGUACAGAAAGGAGCAAAGAAAAAUGAAAACUACUGAUGUGUGUGUGUGUGAGUGUUCAUGAUAUUUCCUUCCUCCUAUUACAGUUGUUAUGCUAUUUGCAUAAUAAAUUCAAAUUAGCAGAGAAAAUUAACUUCUUCGAGUUCAUAUAUUCUAAUAAUGAAAUGGGCUGUGGUCAGCUUAUGAACAUAGUUUACAUUUAUGAUUUUGGAAGAAAAAAUGAAACCCAUAGGAAAGUGUUCAUCUGGGUAUCCUUUUUUACCUUGUCUGACAAUGCAAUUUAUGCCCCCAAUGCUGACGUUACACAUUUGCUUUAAAAUCUUAAGUAAUACUUUAUUGCUAAGAAUGUAGUUCUUUAAUUCAUAUUUUUCACAUCUAAUGUAUUUUGAAGAAGGAGAGGUUUGAACAAUGCUCAAUAUUAUUUCUCUCUCAGCUUUACUUAUUGUCUUAGCAGUAUUUUAGUUGGGUGUAUAUCUGAAAAUCUGCUAUUGCUAAUACAACAUUCUGUUUAACAAAUAGAAUAUGCUGGAAUGUUCAGCAAAUGACAAUAAAUAUGUAUUUGUA